CAAUAAUUAAUUUAUCUGCAGUCUUAAAAUCAGUUGAAUAAUAUGGAUAAGCUCUUGUUCUUGGUUGUAAUGACCAUACUCUUCCAUGUGGCCCUGACGACCGAUUUUGGAUAUGAUGAAUUCGGAAACGUAGCAUACGAUAUCACAAGAGGAGGUCACGGGGGAGAAUAUGAAGAAUUGAAAAGAGGAUCAGGAGGAUUUACAAGCUUUGGAAAAUGGACUGGAGGAUUCGGAGGUGGAAGAUUGAUAAGAGGAAGAGGAGGAAGAUAAUAUGGAGGAUCAGGAAGAUUUGGGUGAUUCGGAGGACUACGAUACAAGAAGCACUAAAAACGAAACUUGCAUUCAUUUAUGUUCGAUCAAAUUGUACUCGAUUGUUUGUUGUCAAACGCAGACAUAUCUAUAUUUCAGCCAAAUUUAAACGGAAAAUUGUAUUUGAAAAAUUUGUAAUAAAAUCUUGGAUUUAA